UACAUGGGGUGCAAACGUUGCUCGGAAUCAUUGGGCGUAAAGCGCGCGUAGGCGGUUACUUAAGUUGGAUGUGAAAGCCCUCGGCUUAACCGAGGAAGUGCAUCCAAAACUGAGUAGCUAGAGUACGAAAGAGGGUCGCGGAAUUCCCGGUGUAGAGGUGAAAUUCGUAGAUAUCGGAAGGAACACCAGUGGCGAAAGCGGCUUCCUGGUCCAGCACCGACGUUCAGGCACGAAAGCGUGGGGAGCAAACAGG
rnacentral:rRNA from 1 species